CUUCAAAGUUAGUAAC
rnacentral:sRNA from 1 species